GGCCUUUCAGUGGCCCUCGUGGAACGGUAGGAAGCUGAGCUGGACUCUCUGCCACAUCGUUCGGUUCCCACAACAGCCUGAUGAAGCAGCAGCAGAAAAAAUGGAAGCCAUUUUGGUUAACGGGUCACAUCUUAGCAGUUGGCAGCGUAAGAAGCGGAAGGAUCCACUGGUCAGAAAUGGAGAUUGAGGAGAAGCUGAGAGCACGGAGGGCUUCAGGGGAGAGCCUGUCCUUUGGAAAAGCGGGCAAUUUGCACUCGUGGUAGAUGAGUGGGGAGGCCGCUCAGUCUCUCUGCCCCUUUGCACAUGCUGCACCCGUUUAGUUUGACGUCGUGGAGAGCUCCUCCAGGCACGGGCUGUGUGAAAGGGUUUAAAAGUUUGGGGGCAUGGCUGGGGGUCCCCGCAUGAGGGGUGCUGUGUAGGCUCCCAUCUUUUCUGCCGGUCAUGCUGGGAGCCAACAGCACCGGCUCCUGACGUGGGGACUUGCCCUGUGCCAUGACGUGGGGACUCGCCCUGUGCCCUGCGCCCCGGUUCCUGCUGGUUCUGUGCCUUCUGGACUCAUUUCCUUUCCAGGGUCCGCAACCGCUUCCGACACAAUCACUAUUUUGGCUGCGGCCACGGCUUCAUUCGCUUCAGCUGCGAGCUUUUCUCAGCGCAGAGAGCACAGGGAAGCUGGGAGGAGUCCGCCUAGAUGGGGGCCAGAUGCCUGAGGACCUGCAGGAGGCCAGGGCUGCAUGCUGAAUGAGAACUUUACCUGGGCCACCAAGUCCUUCUGAGCACAGGUGCUGCUCCCUGCAGUCAGGACAUGCUGGCCGGGGUCUCUGACCUUCACCUGGAAUGCUCCUGGAAGCCCCUGUGUGACAAUCUCCACCACAGUCAGCUGCAGCCUCACAGGCCUUGUGUCAUUUCCCACUAUAGGACCAGGGAACCAG
rnacentral:lncRNA from 1 species